rnacentral:snRNA from 1 species
AUGCUUCAGCAGCACAUAACACUAAAACUGGAAUGGCACAGAGAUUAGCAUGGCCCCUGCACAAGGAUGACACAAAAAAUGUUUCCAGAGAGAACAUCUUC